GGACGAACGCUGGCGGCGUGCCUAAUACAUGCAAGUCGAGCGGACCGAUGGGAGCUUGCUCCCUAGGUCAGCGGCGGACGGGUGAGUAACACGUGGGUAACCUGCCUGUAAGACUGGGAUAACUCCGGGAAACCGGGGCUAAUACCGGAUGCUUGAUUGAACCGCAUGGUUCAAUCAUAAAAGGUGGCUUUUAGCUACCACUUACAGAUGGACCCGCGGCGCAUUAGCUAGUUGGUGAGGUAACGGCUCACCAAGGCGACGAUGCGUAGCCGACCUGAGAGGGUGAUCGGCCACACUGGGACUGAGACACGGCCCAGACUCCUACGGGAGGCAGCAGUAGGGAAUCUUCCGCAAUGGACGAAAGUCUGACGGAGCAACGCCCGCGUGAGUGAUGAAGGUUUUCGGAUCGUAAAACUCUGUUGUUAGGGAAGAACAAGUACCGUUCGAAUAGGGCGGUACCUUGACGGUACCUAACCAGAAAGCCACGGCUAACUACGUGCCAGCCGCUGC
rnacentral:rRNA from 1 species